GUACAACUUCGAGUGAGUCCUUUAACUUUUUACAUCACUUCAAUUUACCGUACAAAUUUAAGUGAGUCCUUUAACUUCUUUUCAUCACUUCAAUUUCAACAGCUUCCACUGGAUCUUGCUCUCUAUCGAGAUCGAUCGGUCCCGAGUUGUGGUGUUUGACUCCUUGCGGAAACCAAAAGAAAAGUAUCAAUCUCUCCUAGACAUCCUUCAAAGCGCAUGGGCUCGGUUUAUUCGUAAACACAUAGGAGUUGCGGCAACGCCUUCUGAUCUUUAUAUCAAAACUGACUUUUCGGUACGAAUACAUAUAGUGCAUCUACUGUGAUUUCAUUAAACGUCGUGAAUAUUUCAUAACCCACAUGUCUAUAUAGUGUUUGAGACAGGAGCAAGAAACCAACCUAUGUGGUUACUAUAUAUGUGAGCACAUACAGUGUUUUUGCUCCUCCACCAAGAGGAUGACACAACAACAAUUCGAUAUUUGGCGUUUGAAGGAGGACCUCAUCGAACCGGAAAGAAUCAGAGCAAUUCAAAAUCACUCUGUGGAUUCCUGGUGGAUGAGGUCAUAAAUCGAAAAAGGAGAAUUUUAUUCGGAUCAAAGGAUAAGCGUGGGUCUACUUGAUAGAAACAAGCGCGGGGGCGACAACAACGAAGACGACGACGACUAGUAUCAUUCUCCUUUUUGGAUACUUGUCGAAAAAAACUAAUGACCAUGGAUACUUGUAAAUAUUUUUGUAAUCCAAAUUGCACUACUAUUAUAAGUAAUUGUAAUUAAUAAAGUGUAUAUCAAUAUAAUAUGUAUAUAUAAUUGCUUUUGCUUUGCGCGAACAAAUAUAUAUGAAUGCUAGAUACGAAUACAAAUACGCGAAUGGCUACGAAUACGAAUACUAAUUAACUAAAACUAAAAUGAUAAGAGGAGAAACAUAAUUAAAAGGAAAAAAACA